AUUGAACGCUGGCGGCAGGCUUAACACAUGCAAGUCGAGCGGGGGAAGGUAGCUUGCUACCGGACCUAGCGGCGGACGGGUGAGUAAUGCUUAGGAAUCUGCCUAUUAGUGGGGGACAACAUCUCGAAAGGGAUGCUAACACCGCAUACGUCCUACGGGAGAAAGAAGGGGAUCUUCGGAACUUGCGCUAAUAGAGGGGCCUAAGUUGGGUUAGCUAGUUGGUGGGGUAAAGGCCUACCAAGGCGACGAUCUGUAGCGGUUCUGAGAGGAUGAACCGCCACACUGGGACUGAGACACGGCCCAGAAUCCUACGGGAGGCAGCAGUGGGGAAUAUUGGACAAUGGGGGGAACCCUGAUCCAGCCAUGCCGCGUGUGUGAAGAAGGCCUUAUGGUUGUAAAGCACUUUAAGCGAGGAGGAGGCUACUCUAGUUAAUACCUAGGGAUAGUGGACGUUACUCGCAGAAUAAGCACCGGCUAACUCUGUGCCAGCAGCCGCCGCCG
rnacentral:rRNA from 1 species